UACAGAGGGGGCAAGCGUUGUUCGGAAUUACUGGGCGUAAAGGGCGCGUAGGCGGCCUUCUAAGUCGAACGUGAAAUCCCCGGGCUCAACCCGGGAACUGCGUCCGACACUGGAAGGCUUGAAUCCGGGAGAGGGAUGCGGAAUUCCAGGUGUAGCGGUGAAAUGCGUAGAUAUCUGGAGGAACACCGGUGGCGAAGGCGGCAUCCUGGACCGGUAUUGACGCUGAGGCGCGAAAGCCAGGGGAGCAAACGGG
rnacentral:rRNA from 1 species